GGCUUCGUGGCCUAAUGGCUAGGGCGCUAGAUUUCGGUGAUACAUAGUAUCUGAUACUCUAGAGAUUGUCGGUUCGAGUCCGGCCGAGGUCG
rnacentral:tRNA from 1 species